rnacentral:rRNA from 1 species
AGAAUUUGAUCUUGGUCAGGACGAACGCUGGCGGCGUGCUUCAUACAUGCAAGUCGAACGAGAAGCUGACUUCGGUCAGUGGAAAGUGGCGGACGGGUGAGUAAUAUGUAGAGAAUCUGCCCUUGAGUGGGGGACAACAGAGGGAAACUUCUGCUAAUACCCCAUAUGAGCUAACUUGAAAUAGUUAUCUUGAAAACUCCGGUGCUCAAGGAUGAGUCUGCAUCUGAUUAGCUAGUUGGCGGUGUAAUGGACCACCAAGGCGACGAUCAGUAGCUGGUUUGAGAGGAUGAUCAGCCACAAUGGGACUGAGACACGGCCCAUACUCCUACGGGAGGCAGCAGGUAGGGUAAUUUUGCGCAAUGGGACCGAAAGCCUGACGCAGCAACGCCGCGUGAACGAUUAAGCCCGUUCGGGGUGUAAAGUUCUGUCAGUAGGGACGUAAUUUUGACGGUACCUACAGAGGAAGCACCGGCUAACUCCGUGCCAGCCGCCGC